rnacentral:rRNA from 1 species
AUACGGAGGAUCCGAGCGUUAUCCGGAUUUAUUGGGUUUAAAGGGUGCGUAGGUGGUUUGAUAAGUCAGCGGUGAAAGUUUGCAGCUUAACUGUAAAAAUGCCGUUGAAACUGUUGGACUUGAGUGUAAAUGAGGUAGGCGGAAUGCGUGGUGUAGCGGUGAAAUGCAUAGAUAUCACGCAGAACUCCGAUUGCGAAGGCAGCUUACUAAGCUACAACUGACACUGAAGCACGAAAGCGUGGGGAUCAAACAGGAUUAGAUACCCUGGUAGUCCACGCAGUAAACGAUGAUUACUAGCUGUUUGCGAUACACAGUAAGCGGCACAGCGAAAGCGUUAAGUAAUCCACCUGGGGAGUACGCCGGCAACGGUGAAACUCAAAUGAAUUGACGGGG